CCGUACGAGCGCAACCCUUGUCAUUAGUUGCCAUCAUUUAGUUGGGCACUCUAAUGAGACUGCCGGUGAAACCGGAGGAAGGCGUGGNCGNCACUGUCUCUUGGCCUUGCCACGGUCCACACGGGACNGUGGNGUGCACAGGGGCNGCCCCCCGGAGGAGCGAUCNCCAAAUUAUUCCGGGUGUUGUGCGGCCCGGGGNGNGGUAUUUCGUGNCGGCAAUUUUUUUGUGGNAAAUUUUCCGGGGUUUGUUGGAACUGAAAAAAAGGGGGGUCAGNUGGGUGUUUNGUAUCAGGGGGUGGGUUUUCUUUUUGGGUGGGGGUGUCAGAGUCGGUGGU
rnacentral:rRNA from 1 species